rnacentral:tmRNA from 1 species
GGGAGUGUACUGGUUUCGACGGGGUUGUUGAGACCGGGAAAGCGGGUAGAGGAUUCUCGUUGGCCUCUUUAAAAAACGAGAGACUUUUUAACUGCCGACAAACCGGCUCUUGCAGCGGCGUAACCGUUGCCGUCCGCUCGGCAAAUCUGAUAGCUGUGGCGUGACGUCAGUAUCAGACCUUUCCUCGGUGGCAGGUUAAACGAGGUAACAGAUGGACACUUGCCUCGACGUCCAAUCUGUAAUAGAGGCUACCUGACCGGUAAGAUUGCUCGUGAUCGCGCCGUAAAGGGAAUUCUUACUCACGAGCUGCACCCGGAGAUGUCCCGGAAGAUGCGAUUUCGGACAUGGGUUCGAUUCCCAUCACUUCCACCA